UCUGAUCUGCUCUGGUUUUCUCAGGCAUUCCUUGUGAAGUUUACCCAUUGGGUGACGGACUGAGACGUUUUAGAAGUGCAUCCCGAAAUAAUCUAGUGAAUCCUGGAGAUAAAUUAAGUUUUUUUUGUGAAGAUGAGUAUGAUAUGGAGGGUCCUGAUGAAGUUCAGUGCUUAGACACGGGGAAGUGGGAUGCCCCGUUUCCAACCUGCUCUGAGAAAUGCAGAAUACCAGACAUACCCAGUACUGUUCGCAUCACUUCAUCUGUACAAGGCAAUGCUAUAAGUAAAGGAGAUACAUUGUCAUUUGACUGUCGUCAACAAGACCACAUCAUGCAAGGGAGUUCAACAAGUAGCUGUUUGGGAAACGGAAAGUGGAGCACUCCACCGCCUGAGUGCACAAUAAUUCCCUACAUGGAGCAAAAAAAAAGAAACGAGCCCAAAACAAAUUUCCAAACAAAAUUCUGGGUCAGGACCAAGUCUAUCUAUCCGCAGCUGCUGCACAUUGUUCAGCACCACCAACUCUUGAAAAUGGAGAUACCAAAUUAUUCAUCAGAUCAGAUGCAGUUUAUCAAAUUGGUGACAGAGUUGAAUAUAUCUGUCAGAAUAAGUACAUUAUGGAUGG